UACAGAGGAUGCAAGCGUUAUCCGGAAUCAUUGGGCGUAAAGCGCACGUAGGCGGCUCGUUAAGUCGGAUGUGAAAGCCCCGGGCUCAACCCGGGAAGUGCAUUCGAAACUGGCGAGCUUGAAUAUGGAAGAGGGUCGCGGAAUUCCCGGUGUAGAGGUGAAAUUCGUAGAUAUCGGGAGGAACACCAGUGGCGAAGGCGGCGACCUGGGCCAAUAUUGACGCUGAGGUGCGAAAGCGUGGGGAGCAAACAGG
rnacentral:rRNA from 1 species